rnacentral:lncRNA from 1 species
AACAAAUGCAAAUAUUUAAAUAGCUGCUGAGGUCCUUAACCUUUACACAGGUGCAUUUGGGUCCCCAAUCUACAAAAAGUACCAACAAAAUAGAAAAGGUAAGGAGCCAAUCGCUUCAUUUGGUAGCUUGGGGACCGAAAUACACCCAGUGUGAACAAUUGAGGACCUUGUCUGCUAGUUACCCGAAUAUUCUUUUACUUUUUCAACCGUGUCUCCUCCAGAAUUUAUUUUCUUGGAGAAGAAGAAAAAACGGGGAAUUCAUAAACGGAAGUACACAGUUAAUGUCCAAACAGUGGGCACCCAAUUCCAAAACAGAGAUUUCUAAUGCAAACUAACUGAAACCCCAAGUUUCACAAUUUAAUACCAUUAAACCCUGAAGAAGAAAGGNAAAAAAAUAAAAAUGGAUGCAGCCCAAAAUCCCCAGCAUCCAGUAUGUGCGCAAGAGGCGCUGGAUCUGCUCAAUUGUGUAACCCAAUCCGCUUACGAUCAAGAAAAAUGCAUUUCCCUUCUUCAAUCGUUGCGUCAAUGCGUUCUCAGUAAGGUAUUUAUGUGAAACUUAAUCUACAAAAUUGCACACACAGUGUUUGUUCUAUUUCCACAGAGAGGUUUUGUUUUUUCUUAACAGGGGUGCAAUCUUGUGCUAUCAGUUUUGUGAAUUCACUGGGGUUUUUUUUAAUAGCAAUAGACUGUUUUCAUGGGUUAUUGCUCGACAGUUCUGGUGUUGUAUAAAAUGUUGAACAGCACUGUCAUUUAGAAUUAGAUUUAGCUAUUGAAGUAGCUGGUGCGAUUAAACUAAUUUUGCACUAAUGGUGUAUUGAGUUCCAUCUCAGAAGGUCCAUCUUGUCCAGACUUGUAGUUGAAACGCAUCGAUUAUUGUUUUUCACAUUUAAGUGAUAGUGGAAUUCUAGCAAGAUGGUGGCUUGUUUGAGAGUUUCAAUCUUAAAACUCAAUUGUUCUUUUGAGUUUUAGAAAGAUUAAAAAGGUCCUUCGAGCUUCUUGAGUUAUGAUAGCAAGUUCUGUUCUAAAAGGUCAAUCUUGCUAGAAUGCUAGGAGUAGCCCAAGCUGCCCGUAUGCGUUGAUUAUUGGUUAUCUCCACUUGUUAGAAACCCACAAUAACACCAAAGAGUUAAUUUAUGGCACAAUAAAACUUGACAUCAGCUACGUAAAUUCUUUUUCCAUCAAUCCAUUAGUUUUAGCAGUAUUAUUAGGGAAAUAUUGAAUGAUAUGAAACCUUUUGGCUUUUGCAAACAUGUUAGACAUGUUAAUUUUGGUUUAUGAACAUGUUGUAUUGGGAUAGCAAUGCCAUAUUAUAAAUAGAGGGUUUUUUAUAUCUACAAAAAAUGAUUGAAGUUGUCAUUCUAUUAAUUUAUACUCAAUUCUUGUUUAGGCUUAUUGACAUCAAUUUUAUUUUAUCAAUUCUAAUACGACUACACAUCCAUCUUAAUAUUUUAGUUUUAUGCUAUAUUCAUGUUAUGUACAUUUUUAUCUUCCAAAGUGUUAAAUGAUUCCCUGUCUUCAUGCUCAUUCUAUAAUUUGUUGAAAUAAUACGUCAAUGCUAUAGCACUUCUUGAAAUAAGCUUGGCUACUACUCUUAUCACCUGCUGCCUGCUGGUUUAAUAUCUAUUAUAUCAGUUUGAAACCCUGUUCAAUGAUUCGUCUUACUUAAAUUCUGCUCUUUUUCUAUAUGCCAAAGUUCAUACAUCCUGUAUUCUGAAAUUCUUUUACCUUCUUUCCUACCUAUUUCAUGUUGUAUUGGCAAUCUUUGUUGACUCUCUUAUGCAGCGAUAAUCUUGUAAUUCAUUAUAUGAGUGUCCCCUCCCAGCGUAAUUAGAUUAGUUUCAUUACUCACCUCUAUCCAUUAGAGUUAUGUGUGCCAUCUCUCCACUUUCUAUAAGCUGAGGAACUGCUUUAGUUGCUGAUGUCCCAGUUUGAUCUACUGCUGUAAUCAGAAUGAUGUUUGAAUAAUGGUGAAAUGUACUUCAAAAUACUAAAUGCAAGAGCAAGUGACUUGAUAAGAUGCUGCUUUCAGUUUUUACUCGACAAUAUUUUUCAUCCCCGUGCUUAUCUAGUAGGGUGUAUGAAGAAUUCUGACAGGCUUAUCGCUCUUGCAAAAUGUCAGGUCGUUCCGAAAUUUUCCUGCAGAAUUUUUGAAUGGCCUCAAUGAGAUUAGAAUCUGCUAUUAUAAUGCUUGAAUUGACAUUUUGCUACAUUAUAGUGUUGAUAUAGUUAGAAGAAUUUAAAUAACCUCAUUGUCACAUGAGGCUUUUGUUUAUUUACAUGUGGUAGGAAGAAAGUUUUGGAAUCACAAUAAAUUUACAAUUUUUUUUUAAUGUAUAUCCUGUUAUUUGAUUUACGAACAUUUUGUUUAUUUACUAGUGUAAUUUCUCUACAAUUACUAUAGUUGCAGAUGGUUCUUAAUUUUAUGUUAUUCUUCUGCAUUAUGGAAAUAUAGUCGAAUUAAGUUUCUUGAAAUCAAACAUAUCUUGAGUCGAUCUAAUAAUGGUAGCGAUUUCUUUUCAGAAAGUGAAGAAAUUCUCGUUGGCGGAACAGGGAGAAGAGAGAGCAGAUUCGACCACCAAGAAGCAAAGUUAAAAUUUUCAGUUCUCUUGGGCAUCUGUAUGAUGAGAAACUCGAUCCUUUCUCUCCAUUUAUGUCAGCAAUUUAAGCGUUUGACUAACACAGCUUAAUCGCACUUCUAUUCUGAUUGGGUUUUCACAUUAUAUGAUUUUGAGCUUCAAUGAAUGGGAAUCACCUACUUUUGGAAAACAAGGCUAUGUUUCCUUUUCAUUUCAUUUGAUACUGCAAAAUGUUUACCGAAAUCUAUGGGAUCAUCUAAGAGUUUCUUUAUCAAGAAAAUUAGUUUAAUUUACAUUAUAC